UAGGGAAUCUUCGGCAAUGGACGAAAGUCUGACCGAGCAACGCCGCGUGAGUGAAGAAGGUUUUCGGAUCGUAAAACUCUGUUGUUAGAGAAGAACAAGGACGUUAGUAACUGAACGUCCCCUGACGGUAUCUAACCAGAAAGCCACGGCUAACUACGUGCCAGCAGCCGCGGUAAUACGUAGGUGGCAAGCGUUGUCCGGAUUUAUUGGGCGUAAAGCGAGCGCAGGCGGUUUCUUAAGUCUGAUGUGAAAGCCCCCGGCUCAACCGGGGAGGGUAAUUGGGAACGGGGAGAAUUGAGUGCAGAAGAGGAGGAUGGAAUUCCAUGUGUAGCGGUGAAAUGCGUAGAUAUAUGGAGGAAAACCAGUGGAGAAGGCGGCUCUCUGGUCUGUAACUGACACUGAGGCUAGAAAGGGUGGGGAGCAAACAGG
rnacentral:rRNA from 1 species